ACUGCCCUGUUGCUAGAGCUGCUUAUUAAAAAAACCUUUUUUACGACAUCGGUCACGGAGCUGGCGAGACGAUAAAUCCUUGCGUCUAUUAUCCGUGCUGCCGUCUGAUCUUGUAUUGCCAGUUAUUAAGUGUUCUUCUUGUUUUGUUAUAUGGAGAGCUUGACCAUCAAUCCCGUCUCCUCUGUUGAGAGUAUCAUUGUGUCUGAGGCUGCGGCUAUUCUCGAGAAUGCCAGCAAAAGACGGAGAUUGGAAACACCUACUUCAACUGUAGAGAGCAUUGUCGAAGUUGUCAUGGAGACCCCUAUUACCAUGGCAACCACCACAUCAGGUGGGGCUAGUGUAGAGGAAGUAAAGGUUAUGUUCUAGUCCCAAUACAUGGUCAUGGCAAACGGAAGUCAGACCCGAACUUCGCCGCAAACUCAUCAGAAUCAACUGAACCAACAACAGAACCAACAACAAAUGCAGCAACAGAACCAACAGAACCAACAGCAGAAUCAGCAGCAAAACCAGCAGCAAAACCAGCAGCAAAACCAGCAGCAAAACCAUGCACCAGAAGCAGAUCUGUUAAAUACCGUUUUCUACAACAUGCAAAACAUAAACAGAUUCGGCCCCAAAUUACUGCCCUGUCACAGGUUGUGUCUUGUACCCAGGAGGCAGUGAAAAUACUCCGGGAGAGUCAGGAGAGAUCAUUAGAUCUGGAGCAUAAAGAGGUUCCGGUUCCAGUUGGAGGCUGAAGAGAAGCGCCUUAUGAUGGAAAGCGAACACUAUCGCAAGAUGAACCCUGUUUUCCGGACAACAAUAACAGGCUAUAUCCCAGACCCCUACUCCUGCAACUCCUGCCACCGAGACACCCACUGAGAUCCGAGUGUCUCCUACUACUGUCAAACUGGAGGUGGACAGCUGAGUGAUACCACAAUAACGAGUGCUACCAAGCAGCAAUCACCUGUAAUAGCAACGAGUGCUACCAGAACAACGAGUGCUACCAUAGCAACGAGUGUGCUAUAGCAACGAAUUCUACCACAGCAACGAGUGGUGCCAUGCAACUGCAACAAGUGCUGAAGCGAUGAAUCAUAUCAGAACAUCACAUUUAAUUUAAGGGCAACGAGCAUACUUUGCCUUUGCAAACUCUGUACUGGUACCAUUUGGGUUAAAUUAAGGGAUCGUUCACGAAUUACAGAAGCCAUAUUUCGGCCAUUUUAACACCUUUAAACAUAUCUAUAUUGCAUAGAAAAUACACUUGCACUUCCAAACCUCCUCCUCGCUACGUAUUAUUUGGUCAAUCCCUUAUUGGGUUAAGUCAAUUUCUUGAAAAAUAAUCGGGCAUUUUUCGGUUUCGACAUUAGAUCUUAAAGCUAAGAAGGAUUUUGAAGCACCUGGUACUACUACUACUACAGAGCUUUUGAGUUAAUUUUGGAAAUGCUGAACGGUAUGAACACUAUAUCUGAGUUCAUAUUGUACUUUUAGUUUAUACCAGGCACACAUACACCGUCUUAAUAAUUAUAAAGC